rnacentral:misc_RNA from 1 species
GAUGAAGAACGUAGCGAAAUGCGAUACUUGGUGUGAAUUGCAGAAUCCCGUGAACCAUCGAGUCUUUGAACGCAAGUUGCGCCCGAAGCCAUUAGGCCGAGGGCACGCCUGCCUGGGCGUCACACGUCGUUGCCCCCCCAUCUACUCCUUCGGGAUUGCGGGGGGCGGAUGAUGGCCUCCCGUGCGCCUCGCCGCGCGGUUGGCAUAAAUGCCAAGUCCUCGGUGACGCACGCCACGACAAUCGGUGGUUGCGAAACCUCGGUUGCCCGUCGUGUGCGGUCGUCGCGCAUCGAGGGCUCGAAAAAAUUGCCGGGUUCCGGCUCGGCUUUCAACGCGACCCCAGGUCAGGCGGGGUUACCCGCUGAAUUUAAGCAUAUCAAUAAGCGGAGGA